AGGGUGUAAACGCUGCAGACUUGGUGUUGGAGGCCCCUUUGGGGGCAUUCAGUGCCGGAGAGAAGUUGUUAAGUCUGCUACUUGGGGAGUACGUCCGCAAGGAUGAACUUAAAGGAAUUGGCGGGGGAGCACCGCAACGGGAGGAGCGUGCGGUUUAAUUGGAUUCAACACCGUAAAAACUCACCAGGGGCGACAGCAGAAUGAUGGCCAGGUUGAUGACCUUGCUUGACAAGCUGAGAGGAGGUGCCAUGGCGUGUGACUGU
rnacentral:rRNA from 1 species